UACGUAGGUGGCGAGCGUUGUCCGGAUUUACUGGGCGUAAAGGGAGCGUAGGCGGGCUUUUAAGUGAGCGGUAAAAAUUCGGGGCUCAACCCCGUCCGGCCGUUGAAACUGGGGGCCUUGAGUGGGCGAGAAGAAGGCGGAAUGCGUGGUGUAGCGGUGAAAUGCAUAGAUAUCACGCAGAACCCCGAUUGCGAAGGCAGCCUUCCGGCGCCCUACUGACGCUGAGGCACGAAAGUGCGGGGAUCGAACAGG
rnacentral:rRNA from 1 species